rnacentral:rRNA from 1 species
GGGAUCCUACGGGGCGCAGCAGUAGGGAAUCUUCCACAAUGGACGAAAGUCUGAUGGAGCAACGCCGCGUGAGUGAAGAAGGGUUUCGGCUCGUAAAGCUCUGUUGGUAGUGAAGAAAGAUAGAGGGAGUAACUGGCCUUUAUUUGACGGUAAUUACUUAGAAAGUCACGGCUAACUACGUGCCAGCAGCCGCGGUAAUACGUAGGUGGCAAGCGUUGUCCGGAUUUAUUUGGCGUAAA